rnacentral:rRNA from 1 species
GUAAGGUGAUAUGAACCGUUAUAACCGGCGAUUUCCGAAUGGGGAAACCCAGUGUGACUCGUCACACUAUCAUUAACUGAAUCCAUAGGUUAAUGAGGCGAACCGGGGGAACUGAAACAUCUAAGUACCCCGAGGAAAAGAAAUCAACCGAGAUUCCCCCAGUAGCGGCGAGCGAACGGGGAGGAGCCCAGAGCCUGAAUCAGCAUGUGUGUUAGUGGAAGCGUCUGGAAAGGCGCGCGAUACAGGGUGACAGCCCCGUACACAAAAGCGCAUGUGCUGUGAGCUCGAUGAGUAGGGCGGGACACGUGGUAUCCUGUCUGAAUAUGGGGGGACCAUCCUCCAAGGCUAAAUACUCCUGACUGACCGAUAGUGAACCAGUACC